ensembl:lncRNA
UGGGAAAUGGGGAAGGGGAAGGAAAAGGAGAAGGGAAAGGGAAAAGGGGAAGGGAAGGGAAGGGAAGGGAAGGGAAGGGAAGGGAAGGGAAGGGGAAAUGGGGAAAUGGGGAAAUGGGGAAAUGAUGGGAGAAGGGAUGGGAAAAGGGAAGGGAAAAGAGAAGGGAAAACGGAAAAGGGAAGGGAUCCCUGGGGAGGUCCACAAGGAGAACAGGGAAGCAUCUCCCCUCCCGCCACCCCAAAAUCUGCUCCUGCAUGACCUGGGGAUGCCAUUCCCGCACAAAUCCCAUUGGGAUGGCGCUCUUAGGCCGCUUCUUCCUGGAGCUUCCCUGUUCCCCCCCCAUGGACCUCCCCACCGCCGAGGCUCGGGGGCAAGUCAAGCUCCUGUCCCCUGUCCCCUGUGCGAUCCUGGCGCUCCUUCCCCAGCACACGCACUACCCGCAGUUUUCCAGCCGGGAAUUCGCGGGGCGGACGCGGCGCGGGCCCUUCGGGGACGCGCUGGCCGAGUUCGAUGACUCCGUGGGGCAGCUGCUGCAGGCGCUGCGGGACAACGGCCUGGAGAGCUCCACACUGCUGUUCUUCACCUCCGACAACGGGUGAGGGCUGGGGGGACAGCGGGGGGUACCCCAAAUGUCACCUGGGUCUGGUGGGACACCUCCAGUGUCGUCUGGGUUUGGUGGGGCACCCCAAAUGUCACCUGGGUUUGGUGGGACACUCCAAAUGUGCCCUGGGUUGGUGGGACAUCCCCAAAUGUCACCUGGGUUUGGUGGGACACCCCCAAAUGUCACCUGGGUUUGGUGGGACAUCCCCAAAUGUCAUCUGGGUUUGGUGGGACAUCCCCACAUGUCGCCUGGGUUUGUGGGACAUCCAAAAUGUCACCUGGGCUUGGUGGGACAUCCCCAAAUGUCACCUGGGUUUGGUGGGACACCUCCAGUGUCAUCUGGGUUUGGUGGGACAUCCCCAAAUGUCACCUGGGCUUGGUGGGACAUCCCCAAAUGUCAUCUGGGUUUGGUGGGACAUCCCCAAAUGUCACCUGGGCUUGGUGGGACACCCCCAAAUGUCACCUGGGUUUGGUGGGAUAUCCAAAAUGUCACCUGGGCUUGGUGGGACAUCCCCAAAUGUCAUCUGGGUUUGGUGGGACAUCCCCACAUGUCACUUGGGUUUGGUGGGACACCUCCAGUGUCACCUGGGUUUGGUGGGACAUCCCCAAAUGUCACCUGGGCUUGGUGGGACACCCCAAAUGUCACCUGGGUUUGGUGGGUCACCCCAAAUGUUCCUGGGUUUGUGGGACACCUCCAGUGUCACCUGGGUUUGGUGGGUCACCCUCAAAUGUCACCUGGGUUUGGGUCACCCCAAAUGUCACCUGGGUUUGUGGGACAUCCCCAGUGUAACCUGGGUCUGGGUCACCCCAAAUGUCACCUGGGUUUGGGUCAGGUGUGUGACACCCCAAAUGUCACCUGGGUCUGGUGGGACACCUCCAGUGUCACCUGGGCUUGGUACAUCCCAAAUGUCACCUGGGUCUGGUGGGACACCUCCAGUGUCAUCUGGGCUUGGUACAUCCCAAAUGUCACCUGGGUCUGGUAUGACACCCCCAAAUGUCCCUGGGUUUGGGUCACCCCCAAAUGUCACCUGGGCUUGGUGGGACACCCCAAAUGUCACCUGGGUUUCGUGGGACACCCCCAAAUGUCCCCAGGGUUUCCUGUGCCACCCCAAAUGUCCCUGGGUUUGGUCCCCGCCCGUGCCAGCCGCAGUCCCCUCAGUUCCCCCCGUGUGUGUGACCCCACUGGGCUGUGCCACCCCCUUGUGCCACCCUCGGGGAGCCAGAGCUGCGCUGGCACCGCCCGGUCCUGUCCCUGUCCCUGUCCCUGUCCCUGUCCCUGUCCCUGUCCCUGCUCCUGUCCCUGUCCCUGUCCCUGUCCCUGUCCCUGCUCCUGUCCCUGUCCCUGCUCCUGUCCCUGUCCUUGUCCCUGGUACCGUCCGGUCCUGUCC